rnacentral:rRNA from 1 species
CCUACGGGCGGCUGCAGUGGGGAAUCUUAGACAAUGGGCGCAAGCCUGAUCUAGCCAUGCCGCGUGAGCGAUGAAGGCCUUAGGGUUGUAAAGCUCUUUCGGGGGGGAAGAUAAUGACUGUACCCCCAGAAGAAGCCCCGGCUAACUCCGUGCCAGCAGCCGCGGUAAUACGGAGGGGGCUAGCGUUGUUCGGAAUUACUGGGCGUAAAGCGCACGUAGGCGGACGGAGAAGUCAGAGGUGAAAUCCCAGGGCUCAACCUUGGAACUGCCUUUGAAACUUUCUGUCUUGAGGUCGUGAGAGGUGAGUGGAAUUCCGAGUGUAGAGGUGAAAUUCGUAGAUAUUCGGAGGAACACCAGUGGCGAAGGCGGCUCACUGGCACGAUACUGACGCUGAGGUGCGAAAGCGUGGGGAGCAAACAGGAUUAGAUACCCCAGUAGUC